UAAACCAAUUGUGAAGUUGUCUCUAUGGCA
rnacentral:piRNA from 1 species